rnacentral:rRNA from 1 species
AGGGUUUGAUCAUGGCUCAGAUUGAACGCUGGCGGUAUGCUUAACACAUGCAAGUCGAACGGAAACGAUGGAAGCUUGCUUCCAGGCGUCGAGUGGCGGACGGGUGAGUAAUGCUUGGGAAUCUGCCUAAUAGUGGGGGAAAACACGGGGAAACUCGUGCUAAUACCGCAUAAUCUCUACGGAGGAAAGGGGGCCUCUACAUGUAAGCUCUCGCUAAUAGAUGAGCCCAAGUCAGAUUAGCUUGUUGGUGAGGUAAAAGCUCACCAAGGCUACGAUCUGUAGCUGGUCUGAGAGGACGAUCAGCCACACUGGGACUGAGACACGGCCCAGACUCCUACGGGAGGCAGCAGUGGGGAAUAUUGCACAAUGGGCGCAAGCCUGAUGCAGCAAUACCGCGUGUGUGAAGAAGGCCUUAGGGUUGUAAAGCACUUUCAAUAGAGAAGAAAAGCUUAGAGUUAAUAACUCUAAGCGUUGACGUAACCUAUAGAAGAAGCACCGGCUAAAUCCGUGCCAGCAGCCGCGGUAAUACGGAUGGUGCGAGCGUUAAUCGGAAUUACUGGGCGUAAAGCGCGCGUAGGCUGUUUUAUAAGUCGGAUGUGAAAUCCCCGGGCUCAACCUGGGAACUGCAUCCGAAACUAUUUAACUAGAGUAUGGGAGAGGUAAGUAGAAUUUCCGGUGUAGCGGUGAAAUG